GCAGCUGAGAGAGUUUACUAUUUAAUUUAGUCUACAUGUCAUGACACCAAUCUCUACUAUCAUCUAGGAAUCGAAGUCUACAUGAAUUGGUAUUCAGGAAUCACCCACUCCAUGUUUGAACACUAGGUCUCAAGCCAGGGCUAAAUGUGUAUGCUUGUUGACAAGCUUCAUUGAUGACCACGGUAUGCUUCUCUACAUCAACAAUCCGAUGGCUGACAGUGGAACCAUCAGUGGUACACAGAGUCUUCUGAUGUCUUUGGUCUGAGAAUGAUUGUUGUGGAAAAGCGACUGACAGGUUUAUCAUAUUGGUGAAGUUAUCGUGCUCAUCAAGGGAAAUUGUGCGCUCCAACCAGGUCCUCUCAUGUUAGACAUACAUAUUUCAUCUUUAGAAUACUGUUGGGAUUACCAAGCUACCCACUUCACCCAUGCAUGUUCCAUGCUGUAUGGCCAGUCAUUUCACUCAGUGUACAACAUGGAUGCACACCCUUUCUUGUGUGAACCAUCUUCCAGCAUAAAUGAAAAAAUAAUUCUACGAGAGACAAGGACCUGACACCAAUCUUAUCUGGCGUUAGCAGUUAUUGGUAUUAGUCAUAUCACUCAGUGUACAGCAUGUCUGCAUGCCCUAUCUUGUGUGAACCAUCUUCCAUCAUAAAUAAGAGAGCUAGUUUUCCGCAGACAAGGACAUGACACCAAUCUUGAAUUCAACAUCUACAAGGAAUAUCUGGGUCAUGUCACUAGGUGUACAGCAUGGAUGCGCACCCUCUCUUGUGUGAACCAUCUUCCAGCAUAAAUAAAAGAGGCAUUCUCCGAGAGACAAGGAUCUGACUCCAUCUACAUGGAAUGUCUGGCGUGAGCAGUUAUUGGUAUAAAGUCAUAUCACUCAGUGUACAACAUGGCUACAUCCCCUAUCUUGGGUGAAGUAUCUUCUUGCAUAAUUGAAACAGCCAGUCUACCAGAAACAAGGACAUGACACCAAUCUUGAUAUUAUCAUCUAAAAGGAGCGUGUGGCGUGAGCAGUUAUUGGUAUUAAGUCUUAACACUCAGUUUACAGUAUGGCUACAUCCCCUAUCUUGUGAGAACCAUCUACCAACAUAAAUGAAAGAGCUAGUCUACCAGAGUCAAGGACAUGACACACACCAAUCUUGAAAUCAUCUACAUGUACAUGGAAUGUCGGGUGUAAAGAUUUAUUGUUAUUAAGUCAAAUCACUCAGUGUACAGCAUGGAUACAUCUCUCAUCUUGUAUGAACCAUCUUCCAGCAUAAAUGAGAGAGCUAGUCUACCAGAGAAAAGGAUAUGACACCAAUCUUGAUAUUAUCAUCAGCAUGGAAUGUCUGUGACCAGUUAAUGGUAUUUAGUCAUAUCACUCAGUGUACAGCAUGGAUACAUCUCUCAUCUUGUGUGAACCAUCUUCCAGCAUAAAUGAGAGAGCUAGUCUACCAGAGAAAAGGAUAUGACACCAAUCUUGAUACUAUCAUCAGCAUGGAAUGUCGAAAGUGAGCAGUUAUUGGUAUUAGUCAUAUCACUCAAUGUACAACACGUCUACGUCCCCUAUCUUGUGUGAACCAUCUUCCAGCAUUUAAUAAGAGAGCUACAUGUAGUUUACCACAGACAACGACAUGACACCAAUCUUGUCGGGUGUGAGCAGUAUUGGUAUUUAGUCAUAUAACUCAGUGUACAACAUGGCUACAUUCUAUAUCUUGUGUGAACCAUCUUCCAGUAUGAAUAAGAGAGCUAGUCUACCAGAGAAAAGGAUAUGACACCAAUCUUGAAAUCAUCAUCUACAUGGAAUGUCUAGAUGAGUAUUGGUAUUUUGUCAUAUCACUCAAUGUACAACACGUCUACGUCCCCUAUCUUGUGUGAACCAUCUUCCAGCAUUUAAUAAGAGAGCUACAUGUAGUUUACCACAGACAAAGACAUGACACCAAUCUUGUCGGGUGUGAGCAGUAUUGGUAUUUAGUCAUAUAACUCAGUGUACAACAUGGCUACAUUCUAUAUCUUGUGUGAACCAUCUUCCAGUAUAAAUAAGAGAGCUAGUCUACCAGAGAAAAGGAUAUGACACCAAUCUUGAAAUCAUCAUCUACAUGGAAUGUCUAGAUGAGUAUUGGUAUUUUGUCAUAUCACUCAAUGUACAACACGUCUACGUCCCCUAUCUUGUGUGAACCAUCUUCCAGCAUUUAAUAAGAGAGCUACAUGUAGUUUACCACAGACAAAGACAUGACACCAAUCUUGUCGGGUGUGAGCAGUAUUGGUAUUUAGUCAUAUCACUCAGUGUACAACAUGGCUACAUUCCAUAUCUUGUGUGAACCAUCUUCCAGCAUAAAUGAGAGAGCUUUUUACCACAGACAAGGACAUGACACCAAUCUUGAAAUCAUCUACGGUACAUGGAAUGGAUAGUGUAAGCAGUUUUUGAUAUUUAGUCAUAUCACUCAGUGUACAGCAUGUCUACAUCCCCUAUCUUGUGUGAACCAUCUUCCAGCAUAAAUAAGAGAGCUAGUUUACCGCAGACAAGGACAUGACACCAAUCUUGAAAUCAUCAUCUAUGUGAAAUGUCUGGAUGAGUAUUGGUAUUUUGUCAUAGUUUCAAAAGCAAAUGGUCA